rnacentral:rRNA from 1 species
AUUGAACGCUGGCGGCAGGCCUAACACAUGCAAGUCGAACGAGUGUCGGACGGGUGAGUAAUAUCUGUGAAACUGCCCGAUGGAGGGGGAUAACUACUGGAAACGGUAGCUAAUACCGCAUAACCUCGGAUGUGCGCCGAUGGGAUUAGCUCUUAGGUGAGGUAACGGCUCACCUAGGCGACGAUCCCUAGCUGGUCUGAGAGGAUGACCAGCCACACUGGAACUGAGACACGGUCCAGACUCCUACGGGAGGCAGCAGUGGGGAAUAUUGUACAAUGGGCGCAAGCCUGAUGCAGCCAUGCCGCGUGUAUGAAGAAGGCCUUCGGGUUGUAAAGUACUUUAAGUUGGGAGGCGUUACCAACAGAAUAAGCACCGGCUAACUUCGUGCCAGCAGCCGCGGUAAUUC